rnacentral:rRNA from 1 species
UACGUAGGGUGCGAGCGUUAAUCGGAAUUACUGGGCGUAAAGCGUGCGCAGGCGGUCUUGUAAGCCAGAUGUGAAAUCCCCGGGCUUAACCUGGGAACUGCAUUUGGGACUGCAAGGCUGGAGUACGGCAGAGGGAGGUGGAAUUCCACGUGUAGCAGUGAAAUGCGUAGAGAUGUGGAGGAACACCGAUGGCGAAGGCAGCCUCCUGGGCUAGUACUGACGCUCAUGCACGAAAGCGUGGGGAGCAAACAGG